AUAUAUAUAAUAGGUAAGCCUAUUUCCUAGGGAAUCAAAAACCCUUGUACAUUAAAUACUAAAAUAUA
rnacentral:tRNA from 1 species